UACAGAGGUCCCAAGCGUUGUUCGGAUUCACUGGGCGUAAAGGGUGCGUAGGUGGUCAGGUAAGUCUGAUGUGAAAGCUCUGGGCUCAACCCAGAAAUGGCAUUGGAUACUAUCUGGCUAGAGGAAUGGAGGGGGGGACUGGAAUACUUGGUGUAGCAGUGAAAUGCGUAGAUAUCAAGUGGAACACCAGUGGCGAAGGCGAGUCCCUGGACAUUUCCUGACACUGAGGCACGAAAGCUAGGGGAGCAAACAGG
rnacentral:rRNA from 1 species